UCCAUAGGUUAAUGAGGCGAACCGGGGGAACUGAAACAUCUAAGUACCCCGAGGAAAAGAAAUCAACCGAGAUUCCCCCAGUAGCGGCGAGCGAACGGGGAGGAGCCCAGAGCCUGAAUCAGCAUGUGUGUUAGUGGAAGCGUCUGGAAAGGCGCGCGAUACAGGGUGACAGCCCCGUACACAAAAGCGCAUGUGCUGUGAGCUCGAUGAGUAGGGCGGGACACGUGGUAUCCUGUCUGAAUAUGGGGGGACCAUCCUCCAAGGCUAAAUACUCCUGACUGACCGAUAGUGAACCAGUACCGUGAGGGAAAGGCGAAAAGAACCCCGGCGAGGGGAGUGAAAAAGAACCUGAAACCGUGUACGUACAAGCAGUGGGAGCACCCUUCGGGGUGUGACUGCGUACCUUUUGUAUAAUGGGUCAGCGACUUAUAUUCUGUAGCAAGGUUAACCGUAUAGGGGAGCCGGAGGGAAACCGAGUCUUAAUUGGGCGUUAAGUUGCAGGGUAUAGACCCGAAACCCGGUGAUCUAGCCAUGGGCAGGUUGAAGGUUGGGUAACACUAACUGGAGGACCGAACCGACUAAUGUUGAAAAAUUAGCGGAUGACCUGUGGCUGGGGGUGAAAGGCCAAUCAAACCGGGAGAUAGCUGGUUCUCCCCGAAAGCUAUUUAGGUAGCGCCUCGUGAAUUCAUCUCCGGGGGUAGAGCACUGUUUCGGCUAGGGGGCCAUCCCGGCUUACCAACCCGAUGCAAACUGCGAAUACCGGAGAAUGUUAUCACGGGAGACACACGGCGGGUGCUAACGUCCGUCGUGAAGAGGGAAACAACCCAGACCGCCAGCUAAGGUCCCAAAGUCAUGGUUAAGUGGGAAACGAUGUGGGAAGGCCCAGACAGCCAGGAUGUUGGCUUAGAAGCAGCCAUCAUUUAAAGAAAGCGUAAUAGCUCACUGGUCGAGUCGGCCUGCGCGGAAGAUGUAACGGGGCUAAACCAUGCACCGAAGCUGCGGCAGCGAACGUAUCACCCAAGACAACUUUACGGAGUUGACGAUUGACGGAGCGAAGCGACGUCAAAGCGUUCAUUAAAGUCGAGUUGGCUUAGGGAUACGUUCGUUGGGUAGGGGAGCGUUCUGUAAGCCUGUGAAGGUGUGUCGUGAGGC
rnacentral:rRNA from 1 species